AGCAGCAUGGCGCAGUGGUAGCGCGCGGGGCCAUAAUGCACGCUGCACAGUCUGAUAAUUAUGCACCCCGAGGUCAACUUGAUCGAUACAAAUUGCUGCUA
rnacentral:tRNA from 1 species